UAUACAGUACCAGUACUGAGUCGAUGUGCAGGGGUACGAGGUAAUAACAAGGCUAUAUACAGUACCAGUACUGAGUCGAUGUGCAGGGGUACGAGGUAAUGAGGCUAUAUACAGUACCAGUACUGAGUCGAUGUGCAGGGGUACGAGGUAAUAACAAGGCUAUAUACAGUACCAGUACUGAGUCGAUGUACAGGGGUACGAGGUAAUAACAAGGCUAUGUACCAGUACUGAGUCGAUGUGCAGGGGUACGAGGUAAUGAGGCUAUAUACAGUACCAGUACUGAGUCGCUGUGCAGGGGUACGAGGUAAUAACAAGGCUAUAUACAGUACCAGUACUGAGUCGAUGUACAGGGGUACGAGGUAAUAACAAGGCUAUGUACCAGUACUGAGUCGAUGUGCAGGGGUACGAGGUAAUGAGGCUAUAUACAGUACCAGUACUGAGUCGCUGUGCAGGGGUACGAGGUAAUAACAAGGCUAUAUACAGUACCAGUACUGAGUCGAUGUACAACGAGGUAAUGAGGUAAUAACAUGGCUAUAAGGCCCAGUACUGAGUCGAUGUGCAGGGGUACGAGGUAACAACAAGGCUAUAUACAGUACAUAUAGGUAGGGGUAAAGUGACUAGGCAACAGGAUAGAUAAUAGUGUGUGUGUGUGACAAUUUUUUGGGCCCUUCCUCUGACCCCUGCUGGUGUAGAGGUCC
rnacentral:lncRNA from 1 species